AAAUAUAAAGAAAUAAUAUUUUUUUAAAAUUAAAAAUUAUCAUAGGAGUUUAGCAAUAUGUUUGAGAAUUCAUGCCUUUGCAUUUGAUUUAUUGAUGUGUGUGUGUUUGAUAAAAGUUCAAAAUAUUUCAAACAGAUUUAAAAAGGAUUUUGAAAUGAGUUUUAAAUACCUUUUGGAAUAAAAAAAACAAAAGAAAAGGAAAACCUCUCCCUUCCUCUAUUCUGGCCCGAAGGCCCACUCCUCUUCUCCUCUCUGGCCCAGCUGGAAGCAAGCCGCGCGCCCUUCCCCUUCCCCCUCCCGUCGGCCCACACGCGCAACCAAGCAAGCCGCGCGCCCUUCCCCUUCCCCCUCCCGUCGGCCCACACGCGCAACCGGCCCAGAGCCGUUGGCCAGCCCAGCAGCGUGUCCCCUUUCCUUUCGCUCUCUGGCGAACCGGCCCCGCGCCGUUUAGUCGCUGCCAUCCAGGCCCCACAUGUCAGCGUCACUCCCUCCCUUUCCUUCUUCCUCCUGGAGCCGUAUGCGGCAGGGACUUCCAGAGGUGAAAUCGAUCCCGGGUCCUCGGGAUUUCUCCCUUCUGCGCUCAACCAAACCUUUUUAAGCCCCUCGCCUCUCCCC
rnacentral:lncRNA from 1 species